rnacentral:rRNA from 1 species
CGAAUGCUGACAUAAGUAACGAUAAAGCGGGUGAAAAGCCCGCUCGCCGGAAGACCAAGGGUUCCUGUCCAACGUUAAUCGGGGCAGGGUGAGUCGACCCCUAAGGCGAGGCCGAAAGGCGUAGUCGAUGGGAAACAGGUUAAUAUUCCUGUACUUGGUGUUACUGCGAAGGGGGGACGGAGAAGGCUAUGUUGGCCGGGCGACGGUUGUCCCGGUUUAAGCGUGUAGGCUGGUUUUCCAGGCAAAUCCGGAAAAUCAAGGCUGAGGCGUGAUGACGAGGCACUACGGUGCUGAAGCAACAAAUGCCCUGCUUCCAGGAAAAGCCUCUAAGCAUCAGGUAACAUCAAAUCGUACCCCAAACCGACACAGGUGGUCAGGUAGAGAAUACCAAGGCGCUUGAGAGAACUCGGGUGAAGGAACUAGGCAAAAUGGUGCCGUAACUUCGGGAGAAGGCACGCUGAUAUGUAGGUGAAGUCCCUCGCGGAUGGAGCUGAAAUCAGUCGAAGAUACCAGCUGGCUGCAACUGUUUAUUAAAAACACAGCACUGUGCAAACACGAAAGUGGACGUAUACGGUGUGACGCCUGCCCGGUGCCGGAAGGUUAAUUGAUGGGGUUAGCGCAAGCGAAGCUCUUGAUCGAAGCCCCGGUAAACGGCGGCCGUAACUAUAACGGUCCUAAGGUAGCGAAAUUCCUUGUCGGGUAAGUUCCGACCUGCACGAAUGGCGUAAUGAUGGCCAGGCUGUCUCCACCCGAGACUCAGUGAAAUUGAACUCGCUGUGAAGAUGCAGUGUACCCGCGGCAAGACGGAAAGACCCCGUGAACCUUUACUAUAGCUUGACACUGAACAUUGAGCCUUGAUGUGUAGGAUAGGUGGGAGGCUUUGAAGUGUGGACGCCAGUCUGCAUGGAGCCGACCUUGAAAUACCACCCUUUAAUGUUUGAUGUUCUAACGUGGACCCGUAAUCCGGGUUGCGGACAGUGUCUGGUGGGUAGUUUGACUGGGGCGGUCUCCUCCUAAAGAGUAACGGAGGAGCACGAAGGUUGGCUAAUCCUGGUCGGACAUCAGGAGGUUAGUGCAAUGGCAUAAGCCAGCUUGACUGCGAGCGUGACGGCGCGAGCAGGUGCGAAAGCAGGUCAUAGUGAUCCGGUGGUUCUGAAUGGAAGGGCCAUCGCUCAACGGAUAAAAGGUACUCCGGGGAUAACAGGCUGAUACCGCCCAAGAGUUCAUAUCGACGGCGGUGUUUGGCACCUCGAUGUCGGCUCAUCACAUCCUGGGGCUGAAGUAGGUCCCAAGGGUAUGGCUGUUCGCCAUUUAAAGUGGUACGCGAGCUGGGUUUAGAACGUCGUGAGACAGUUCGGUCCCUAUCUGCCGUGGGCGCUGGAGAACUGAGGGGGGCUGCUCCUAGUACGAGAGGACCGGAGUGGACGCAUCACUGGUGUUCGGGUUGUCAUGCCAAUGGCACUGCCCGGUAGCUAAAUGCGGAAGAGAUAAGUGCUGAAAGCAUCUAAGCACGAAACUUGCCCCGAGAUGAGUUCUCCCU